rnacentral:rRNA from 1 species
UAGGGAAUCUUCGGCAAUGGGGGGAACCCUGACCGAGCAACGCCGCGUGAGUGAAGAAGGUUUUCGGAUCGUAAAGCUCUGUUGUUAAGGAAGAACGAGUGUGAGAAUGGAAAGUUCAUACUGUGACGGUACUUAACCAGAAAGGGACGGCUAACUACGUGCCAGCAGCCGCGGUAAUACGUAGGUCCCGAGCGUUGUCCGGAUUUAUUGGGCGUAAAGAGCUUGUAGGCGGUUCGUCGCGUCUGGUGUGAAAGCCCAUCGCUUAACGGUGGGUUUGCGCCGGGUACGGGCGGGCUAGAGUGCAGUAGGGGAGACUGGAAUUCCCGGUGUAACGGUGGAAUGUGUAGAUAUCGGGAAGAACACCAAUGGCGAAGGCAGGUCUCUGGGCUGUUACUGACGCUGAGAAGCGAAAGCGUGGGGAGCGAACAGG